CUCAUUUCUAUUACAGGCAUCAAAGUGAUAUGUAAUUAUACAAGAACUGAAGCAUUGAUGUAUAUGAUCUUAACAUUGAUGUAUAUGAUCUUAUUUGGGUGUAACAAUGUGUAGUAAUACAGUAUCUGUAGUAGUAAUCUGUUAUCGCUACCAAAAGAAAAUUGAAAAGAGAUAAACAUGCCAAACAGCCAAAGUGAUGUCACAGCUCAUGGGACUACAAAGUGAUAAUUAUACUAGAAUAACUUGAUUAUACAGUUAGUUCAAACUGAUUGGGUCAUUCAAAAAAAUAUCCACACCCCUAAUGGAAGAGAUGGGAGGUUCAGCUUUCUCCCACUUUUGGACACCCUUAGCUAAUACUUUUACUAUUAUCAGCAGUUGAGUUCGGCCCACUUCAGACAGCACUUCAGACAGCACUUCAGACAUCUGUGGAGUUAGUGUUUAUCUUUUCUGGAAUGACUCAUUGGUGAUUGGUAGUUAAUAAUUAUUCAUUGAAGAAUUUAAAUUAAAAUAAUACAAUUUCAACUGCAUCAUUGUGGUGGUAAAUAAUUCUGCAAUAAACAAGAAUAGGUUCUUUGAAUGUUUGCAUGGCGAUAAAAUAUAAUUGUUUUUGUUUGUGGGAACACCACGUAAAUUUAUUACUGCAAAGCUUUCGAUCCGUAAGCCCGGAUCUUCAUCAG